UUCUAAAGGUACCCUCAGCACGCUUGGUAACCGUGCGUAGAGUGCAAUGGCAUAAGGGUGCUUGACUGUGAGACAGACAAGUCGAUCAGGUACGAAAGUAGAGCAUAGUGAUCCGGUGGUUCUGUAUGGAAGGGCCAUCGCUCAAAGGAUAAAAGGUACGCCGGGGAUAACAGGCUGAUCGCCGCCC
rnacentral:rRNA from 1 species